rnacentral:lncRNA from 1 species
UGAAAAACAACAACUUAAAUUUUACAGUAAUCUUGGUGAUUGCUUACCUCAUUUCUUUAUGAACACUUGGGAUUUGGUCUAAGGCCAUUCGGUAGAACUUAAUGGCUUUGGAAUAAUUUCUUUGUUUUAAGUAAAUAUUUCCCAUAUUCACUUUCAGUCUCCCUAAUUAAAAAAAAAGAAUGUAUAAUAUUCUUAUUUUUGCACUUUUUCUAUGAUAUUGUAGAUGAUCUUAAUUCAUAUUCUCUGAUGUUCUUAAGUUAUAAAGUUUUAGACAUUACCUAAAAAUCUAAUUUUAAAAUAGUUAUACUGUUUCAUGUAUUCAAACAUUAGUUUCUGAGAGGCAAUGAAACUUAAGAUAGUAGAUGUCUGAAAGUAUGGUUGGAAAGAAAAUGACUUACAUUAUAAAACCGAAAGUAUAUUCUGCUAAAAAAAAAAAAGUGAGAUUAUAUGGCAUUUUAAAAUUAGACUAAAAAAUGUCACACACAUUUUAAUAUGAUGUUAAAAGGAAAUGAUAUUCUGAUAAACUUUAAUAUUGCAACUAAAAAUUUAUAUAAUAUAAAUGCUAAAUAUAAACUCUAGUCUAUUGGGACAUAUUUACAGAUGGCAAAGCAUAUUCUAUGGGGAUGCCAUGGCUCAUUCUACCUGUGGUAACAGAACACAUUUUUUGUUUACCAUUAUGUAACAUACUUCAUACCAACCAUAUUUCUUCAUUUGUAUUUGUAUGGAUUUUCACAUACAGUAUCUCUAAGAAGGAUACCUCAUCAUAAAUACAAAUUUGCUUAGAGCAUAGAUCAUUUCAUUAUAAGGAAGCAUAAAGUAGGGAGAUAUAAAUUAACACUACAAAAGAGUUAUGCCUAUUGGCAAAACUGAUUAUACACCUACCUGCAUUGCUAAACAUCUU